rnacentral:rRNA from 1 species
AGUGAACGCUGGCGGUAGGCCUAACACAUGCAAGUCGAACGGCAGCACAGUAAGAGCUUGCUCUUACGGGUGGCGAGUGGCGGACGGGUGAGGAAUACAUCGGAAUCUACUUUUUCGUGGGGGAUAACGUAGGGAAACUUACGCUAAUACCGCAUACGACCUACGGGUGAAAGCAGGGGAUCUUCGGACCUUGCGCGAUUGAAUGAGCCGAUGUCGGAUUAGCUAGUUGGCGGGGUAAAGGCCCACCAAGGCGACGAUCCGUAGCUGGUCUGAGAGGAUGAUCAGCCACCCUGGAAAUGAGACACGGUCCAGACUCCUACGGGAGGCAGCAGUGGGGAAUAUGGGACAAUGGGCGCAAGCCUGAUCCAGCCAUACCGCGUGGGUGAAGAAGGCCUUCGGGUUGUAAAGCCCUUUUGUUGGGAAAGAAAAGCAGCAGGUUAAUACCCCGCUGUUCUGACGGUACCCAAAGAAUAAGCACCGGCUAACUUCGUG